AUUUGAUUCCACCUGAGAAAAGGUCUUUCAUUCAUAAGCUAUCCUUUAAUAUGCUACAAAAGAAAAGAUGAAAUAGCUAAACAACUCCAGUGCGGAUCCAAACAGAACGCUAACAUGACAAGGUGAAGCCUACCCACGUGUUCAAUGCUGCCAGAGUCACCGGUCGUCUGAACGUUGACUGAUGUGUGCCGCACAAGGUGGGUCUCUCUCUGUGUGUGAAGGGAUGCUGAAUUUAUAAGACUAUCAAAAACGCAAACAUGGAUGGUAACAGUGAAUACAUCAUCCUGGAGUAGAAACCAAUCCUUAAAGGGGGUUGGCGAAGAAGAAAAGAGAAAUAGGUAAAGUAACAUCCAUCAGAGAAAUGUGAAAU